rnacentral:rRNA from 1 species
AAUAGAUACCCCCGGUAGUCCACGCCGUAAACGAUGAAUGCUAGGUGUCGGGCUCGUCAGAGUUCGGUGCCGAAGUUAAACACAUUAAGCAUUCCACCUGGGAAGUACGAUCGCAAGAUUGAAACUCAAAGGAAUUGACGGGGGACCCGCACAAGCGGUGGAGCAUGUGGUUUAAUUCGAAGCAACGCGAAGAACCUUACCAAAACUUGACAUCCUUUUGACCGGUCUUUAAUCGGACCCUUCAGAGCUUGCUCUGACAAAAGUGACAGGUGGUGCAUGGUUGUCGUCAGCUCGUGUCGUGAGAUGUUGGGUUAAGUCCCGCAACGAGCGCAACCCUUAUCUUUAGUAGCCAUCAUUUAGUUGGGCACUCUAGAGAGACUGCCAGGGAUAACCUGGAGGAAGGUGGGGAUGACGUCAAAUCAUCAUGCCCCUUAUGUUUUGGGCUACACACGUGCUACAAUGGCUGCUACAAAGGGAAGCAACCCAGUGAUGGUAAGCAAACCUCAAAAAACGCAGUCCCAGUUCGGAUUGUAGUCUGA